GCGGCCGUGUCGGAACUGGAAGACGACCUGGUUUUAGAUGCCAGUGAGAGAAAUCUCGUGUGGGUUCGAAUCCCAUCGGCCGCA
rnacentral:tRNA from 1 species